rnacentral:tRNA from 1 species
GCGGCUAUGGUCUAGUGGCUAGGACGGUAGCCUCCCAAGCUACCAACCCGGGUCCGAAUCCCGGUAGCCGCA